GACGAACGCUGGCGGCGUGCUUAACACAUGCAAGUCGAGCGGAAAGGCCCUGCUUUUGUGGGGUGCUCGAGUGGCGAACGGGUGAGUAACACGUGAGUAACCUGCCCUUGACUUUGGGAUAACUUCAGGAAACUGGGGCUAAUACCGGAUAGGAGCUCCUGCUGCAUGGGGGGGGUUGGAAAGUUUCGGCGGUUGGGGAUGGACUAGCGGCUUAUCAGCUUGUUGGUGGGGUAGUGGCUUACCAAGGCUUUGACGGGUAGCCGGCCUGAGAGGGUGAACGGCCACAUUGGGACUGAGAGACGGACCAGACUCCUACGGGAGGCAGCAGUGGGGAAUAUUGCACAAUGGGCGGAAGCCUGAUGCAGCAACGCCGCGUGCGGGAUGACGGCCUUCGGGUUGUAAACCGCUUUCGCCUGUGACGAAGCGUGAGUGACGGUAAUGGGUAAAGAAGCACCGGCUAACUACGUG
rnacentral:rRNA from 1 species